rnacentral:ncRNA from 2 species
UUAAAGAAUUUAAUAUAACUUCGUAUAACUCCAAUAAUAUGGUUUGGAGGUCUCUACCAGGAACCGAAAUUCCUGAUUACGAAGAGAGUGCAAAAGGUG